GCGGAUGUGGUGCAUGGUGCACGACUGCUUUCAAUCGUUGGUCUUCAGCACACUGCAUUUGACGCAGUUUGACGGGGUUCGAUUCCCUGCGCCCGCU